rnacentral:rRNA from 1 species
UACGAAGGGGGCUAGCGUUGCUCGGAAUUACUGGGCGUAAAGGGCGCGUAGGCGGACAGUUUAGUCAGAGGUGAAAGCCCAGGGCUCAACCUUGGAAUUGCCUUUGAUACUGGCUGUCUUGAGUUCGGGAGAGGUGAGUGGAAUGCCGAGUGUAGAGGUGAAAUUCGUAGAUAUCAAGAGGAACACCUGCGGCGAAGGCGGGUUGCUGGGCCGACACUGACGCUGAGGCGCGAAAGCCAGGGGAGCGAACGGG